rnacentral:rRNA from 1 species
CCUACGGGGUGCAGCAGUCGAGAAUCAUUCACAAUGGGGGAAACCCUGAUGGUGCGACGCCGCGUGGGGGAAUGAAGGUCUUCGGAUUGUAAACUCCUGUCAUGUGGGAGCAAAUUAAAAAGAUAGUACCACAAGAGGAAGAGACGGCUAACUCUGUGCCAGCAGCCGCGGUAAUACAGAGGUCUCAAGCGUUGUUCGGAAUCACUGGGCGUAAGGCGUGCGUAGGCUGUUUCGUAAGUCGUGUGUGAAAGGCGCGGGCUCAACCCGCGGACGGCACAUGAUACUGCGAGACUAGAGUAAUGGAGGGGGAACCGGAAUUCUCGGUGUAGCAGUGAAAUGCGUAGAUAUCGAGAGGAACACUCGUGGCGAAGGCGGGUUCCUGGACAUUAACUGACGCUGAGGCACGAAGGCCAGGGGAGCGAAAGGGAUUAGAUACCCUUGUAGUC